GGAAAGGGUCAUCACAGCCAUUGUCCUUCAAUAUCUUCUCAGUGAGCUGCUUCCAAGGUAUAAUGGCUGGAAGAGUGAAUAUAUAGCAGGAAAUAACUUAGGGUUGCAAACCCAGACACGGAAAACACAGAAUGAAAUUGUGGAAGAAUUUCGUAAGGGCAAGGUAUAUCAUGUGUCUUCUAACAUCCACAAUAAACUAUUUAUUACAUUUCUUGAGUUUGUUGGGUGGAAAAGAAACGCUACCUGUGAUGUAACAGGUGAAUAUAAUCGUUGCAACCUCAAUUCUUGAGGAAGGUUUAGAUGUACCAAGUUGCAACUUGGUAAUUAGAUUUGAUCCUUCAGCUACAGUUAGCAGUUUCAUACAGUCCCGAGGUCGUGCUAGGAUGCGUAAUUCGGACUAUUUGUUAAUGGUGAAGAGGUAAGUUUCUAUUGGAAUGCCAACUUUCUAAUUCUAGAGCUGCAAAUUAUAAAGUUCUAGAUUCUUCAUUUUCUUGUUAAAUACAUUAUACACACACACACACAAUCCUUUGAUCUUUUCUGUUAAAUUUGUAGUGGGGAUCUUUCUACAUGUUCUCGACUACAGAACUAUCUUUCUAGCGGAGAUAUAAUGAGAAAGGAGUCCAUACGCCUUGCUUCUGUUCCUUGUUCACCUCUUAAGAUUGAAUUACGUGAUGAUGAGUUUUAUUGUGUUGAAAGCACUGGAGCAGUUGUGACUCUGACCUCUAGCGUCCGUUUGAUAUAUUUCUAUUGCUCACGUCUCCCUUCUGAUGGGUAUUUUAAACCUGCCCCAAGGUGUGUUAUUGACAAGGAGAGGGAGGUUUGCACAUUGCAUCUGCCAAAGAGUUGUGAUAUACAGAAUAUUUGUGUACAAGGAAACAUUAAAACU
rnacentral:misc_RNA from 1 species